AUGAAGCGGGAGUACCAGGACGCCGGAGGGAGCGGCGGCGGCGGUGGCGGCAUGGGCUCGUCCGAGGACAAGAUGAUGGUGUCGGCGGCGGCGGGGGAGGGGGAGGAGGUGGACGAGCUGCUGGCGGCGCUCGGGUACAAGGUGCGCGCCUCCGACAUGGCGGACGUGGCGCAGAAGCUGGAGCAGCUCGAGAUGGCCAUGGGGAUGGGCGGCGUGGGCGCCGGCGCCGCCCCCGACGACAGCUUCGCCACCCACCUCGCCACGGACACCGUGCACUACAACCCCACCGACCUGUCGUCUUGGGUCGAGAGCAUGCUGUCGGAGCUCAACGCGCCGCCGCCGCCCCUCCCGCCCGCCCCGCAGCUCAACGCCUCCACCUCCUCCACCGUCACGGGCAGCGGCGGCUACUUCGAUCUCCCGCCCUCCGUCGACUCCUCCAGCAGCAUCUACGCGCUGCGGCCGAUCCCCUCCCCGGCCGGCGCGACGGCGCCGGCCGACCUGUCCGCCGACUCCGUGCGGGAUCCCAAGCGGAUGCGCACUGGCGGGAGCAGCACCUCGUCGUCAUCCUCCUCCUCGUCGUCUCUCGGUGGGGGCGCCAGGAGCUCUGUGGUGGAGGCUGCCCCGCCGGUCGCGGCCGCGGCCAACGCGACGCCCGCGCUGCCGGUCGUCGUGGUCGACACGCAGGAGGCCGGGAUUCGGCUGGUGCACGCGCUGCUGGCGUGCGCGGAGGCCGUGCAGCAGGAGAACCUCUCCGCCGCGGAGGCGCUGGUGAAGCAGAUACCCUUGCUGGCCGCGUCCCAGGGCGGCGCGAUGCGCAAGGUCGCCGCCUACUUCGGCGAGGCCCUCGCCCGCCGCGUCUUCCGCUUCCGCCCGCAGCCGGACAGCUCCCUCCUCGACGCCGCCUUCGCCGACCUCCUCCACGCGCACUUCUACGAGUCCUGCCCCUACCUCAAGUUCGCGCACUUCACCGCCAACCAGGCCAUCCUGGAGGCGUUCGCCGGCUGCCGCCGCGUGCACGUCGUCGACUUCGGCAUCAAGCAGGGGAUGCAGUGGCCCGCACUUCUCCAGGCCCUCGCCCUCCGUCCCGGCGGCCCUCCCUCGUUCCGCCUCACCGGCGUCGGCCCCCCGCAGCCGGACGAGACCGACGCCCUGCAGCAGGUGGGCUGGAAGCUCGCCCAGUUCGCGCACACCAUCCGCGUCGACUUCCAGUACCGCGGCCUCGUCGCCGCCACGCUCGCGGACCUGGAGCCGUUCAUGCUGCAGCCGGAGGGCGAGGAGGACCCGAACGAGGAGCCCGAGGUAAUCGCCGUCAACUCAGUCUUCGAGAUGCACCGGCUGCUCGCGCAGCCCGGCGCCCUGGAGAAGGUCCUGGGCACCGUGCGCGCCGUGCGGCCCAGGAUCGUCACCGUGGUGGAGCAGGAGGCGAAUCACAACUCCGGCACAUUCCUGGACCGCUUCACCGAGUCUCUGCACUACUACUCCACCAUGUUCGAUUCCCUCGAGGGCGGCAGCUCCGGCGGCGGCCCAUCCGAAGUCUCAUCGGGGGCUGCUGCUGCUCCUGCCGCCGCCGGCACGGACCAGGUCAUGUCCGAGGUGUACCUCGGCCGGCAGAUCUGCAACGUGGUGGCCUGCGAGGGGGCGGAGCGCACAGAGCGCCACGAGACGCUGGGCCAGUGGCGGAACCGGCUGGGCAACGCCGGGUUCGAGACCGUCCACCUGGGCUCCAAUGCCUACAAGCAGGCGAGCACGCUGCUGGCGCUCUUCGCCGGCGGCGACGGCUACAAGGUGGAGGAGAAGGAAGGCUGCCUGACGCUGGGGUGGCACACGCGCCCGCUGAUCGCCACCUCGGCAUGGCGCCUGGCCGGGCCGUGA
rnacentral:rRNA from 1 species